rnacentral:lncRNA from 1 species
GAGUAGAACCAAUCAACUCCCAAACCAUUAGGGAGCCAAGAGCUAAUCAAAUCAAACUAUGUUGAGAGCCAAUAAGCUCAUCAAUCAAAGUGUAAGGGCCAAUUAGCCUAUAAGGGCCAAAUAGCCAGCAAAGAGAGUAAGAAUAGGCCAAAUAGCCAGCAAAGAGAGAGAGAAUAAUAGGCCAAUAAGCCAAAAGGCCAAUAAGCCUAGCAAAUAGUUUCUUUCUAGUUGUUGAAGGCCAAUAAACCUACUCCUCUAUAAAGCCUUGUACCCAUCUAUUGUUGAAUAAAUAAAAUCACUCUUUUGUUCUCUAAAACCCAACAAGUGGUAUCAGAGCAUCACAUACGCUCAUCACACACCUACUACAAUCUAACAGUGGUAUCAGAGUUGGUUCGAUUGCAUUGGGCGUCAGAGCUGGUUCGAGAGCUAGUUCAACUCGAGAGUCGCAUUCGAUCAACUAUGGGCGCAUGGGCCGACUCAAAAGCAAGGUACGUGCUAUCAAUACUCAAUUCAAAGUUUCAAGAAAUCUAGAAGGGGAACGAAAUCUAAAGAAAGUUCUAGAGGAGAAGAUAGUGAAAAUAAAAGAGAUGGCAUGAGAGGAAAAAACUUUCCUCCAUGUGGAGUGUGCAAAAAGUUAAGGCACCCAAAAAAAAGAAAAAGAAGCUCUUUAAUCAAAGUGUAAGGGCCAAAUAGCCCAAACUAAGCAAAGUGUAAGGGCCAAAUAGCCCAAACUAUUCUAAAUCAAGUGUGGUGGUCAAUAAGUCAAUAUGCUAAGUGUAGAAGGCCAAUUAGCUUACACCGAGCCAUGUACUAUUCUUAUCCAAAUAUAAUAAAAUCACUUUGUUUUUUCCCUUCAACUCUAACAUAUUCCUUAUAAAGCG